rnacentral:tRNA from 1 species
UGGGGAUUGGUGCAACGGCAGCACGCCACGCUCUGGACGUGGAAAUUGGGGUUCGAAUCCCUGAUCCCCAG